CCCCCCCCCCCCGGAGAGAGGGAGAGAGAGCCAGAGCCGGUGCCUGUGAUAGCACAGCCAGCGUGAAGGAGAAGGGGGGGGUGCCCAGCAGGGCAGCCAGGCGUGGGAGUUGAUGAAGUAAACCGGCAGAGAGCUCGGGACUUUUAACCCCUCUGAGGAAGAUGGGAACCUUGCUAAUGCUGAGUCUUCCUGAAGUUGAUGAGAUUGAGAAGAUGUUGAGAAGAAUUCUAGGUGGGAGGAGAUGAUGCAGUGGCUUUGGGCUGGACUUUUCUUGUAUAGCCACAGCAGAACCCCUUGUGUUCCUGUGACACAGAGACUGCAUUCUAGGGGGAGGCGAUGGCUCAGAGCCAGGAGAGUGCGGUGAUGUGGAGGAGUGAACAGAGACGACGGGUGAGGAGGGUGGUGGUGGUGCCCUCCGUCUUUGAAGAAGAGGAAGAGGAAGAUGAUCUCUGUUCAAGAGACCCCUCGGCCCCAGGGGGUGAAAUUUGGGGGGGACGGGUGUCCCAAAAGGAGAAGGACUGUGCUCUCGUUGGAACUGGACAAAGUAUCCUUAAAGUGAAAAACCCUAGAAGCAGCUCUGAUCCAUGUGCAGUGGUGAGAGCACUGGACAUGGAAAGAAUGUGGUGCAAGAGGGACUCCUCUCUUCUCGAGGAACUGAGAAUUAGUUAUCUAAAGGGUGGAUAUGGAAUUGGAAAUUUGGUGGGGGGAGGAGGAAGAAUAUGGAAGGUUUUCAUCUUGUGUUCUAUGUGUUUUCUGUGUCUUCCUUUCUAGUUUUGGGUUAAUAAAGUUUUUUUUUUCCCUUUAAACCUUAAGUUGGAGCCUGCUUUACUCUGUCUAUGAUCACAUCUCACAGUGGGUGUCAGGGAAGGAGGUGAUAUCGUGGGGGUACUGGCAUUAGGCCAAGCUCUAACGAUGACACAGACACAACUUGGAGAGUAAGAUAUGAGGGAUAUGGCAUGGAUACAUUAAAAAAAAAGAAGAAAAAAAAUCGUGGCUAAUGUCAAAGCCAUCAAAAGGCAUGGCAUGCCAUCAAGUGCUGGGACUUGCAUGACAUAUACCAAGUCUGGCCAAAAUUGAUCCCUGCUGAAGGUCAAAACAAAUAAGAAGGACUUAGGAACACUUUGGAAUGGAGAUAGCAUCCAAGGAAAUGAAAUUGAAAGAGAAAAAAAAAAAUUUUUGAAAUUUAGUGACUACAAGAAAGUGGUCUGGGCCAAAAUGAGGUGCAGUGCAAAGGACCCAAAGAGGCCAAAACUCAGCUCACAGCUGUUGCAAAAGCAGGGGAAAAAUCAAGGAGGCAGACAUAACUUGGAGAGUAAGAUAUGAGGGAUAUGGCAUGGAUACAUUAAAAAGAAAAAAGAAAAAAAACCAUGGCUAAUGUCAAAGCCAUCAAAAGGCAUGGCAUGCCAUCAAAUGCUGGGACUUGCAUGACAUACACCAAGGCUGGCCAAAAUUGAUCCCUGCUGAAGGUCAAAACAAAUAAGAAGGACUUAGGAACACUUUGGAAUGGAGAUAGCAUCCAGGGAAAUGAAAUUGAAAGAGAAAAAAAAAAAUUUUGAAAUUUAGUGACUACAAGAAAGUGGUCUGGGCCAAAAUGAGGUGCAGUGCAAAGGACCCAAAGAGGCCAAAACUCAGCUCACAGCUGUUGCAAAAGCAGGGGAAAAAUCAAGGAGGCAGACAUAACUUGGAUGGGAAGAUAUGAGGGACAAGGCAUGGAUACUUGAAAAAAAAAAAAAAAGAAAAAAAAUCUUGGCCAAAGUCAAAGCCAUCAAAAGGCAUGGCAUGGCAUCAAGUGCUGGGACUUGCACCAAAGCUGGCCAAAAUUGAUCCCCAUUGAAAUCGCAAGAUUUCGUUUCCCGUCCCGAAAGGAAAUUUCCUUUCGGGACGGGAAACGAAAUCUUGCGACCCUGCAAAGAAAGGCAAAGAAACACUCCGGAAAGGAGAUAUGAUCAAAAGAAAUGCAAUUGAAAAAAAACCCCAAAAAAUGGCAAAUUUUUGAAAUUUAGUGACUACAAGAAAGUGGUCUGGGCCAAAAUGAGGUGAAGUGCAAAGGACCCAAAGAGGCCAAAACUCAGCUCAGAGCUGUUGCAAAAGCAGGGGAAAAAUCAAGGAGGCAGACAUAACUUGGAUGGGAAGAUAUGAGGGACAAGGCAUGGAUACUUGAAAAAAAAAAAAAAAGAAAAAAAAUCUUGGCUAAUGUCAAAGCCAUCAAAAGGCAUGGCAUGGCAUCAAGUGCUGGGACUUGCACCAAAGCUGGCCAAAAUUGAUCCCCAUUGAAAUCGCAAGAUUUCGUUUCCCGUCCCGAAAGGAAAUUUCCUUUCGGGACGGGAAACGAAAUCUUGCGACCCUGCAAAGAAAGGCAAAGAAACACUCCGGAAAGGAGAUAUGAUCAAAAGAAAUGCAAUUGAAAAAAAACCCCAAAAAAUGGCAAAUUUUUGAAAUUUAGUGACUAAAAGAAAGUGGUCUGGGCCAAAAAGAGGUGAAGUGCAAAGGACCCAAAGAGGCCAAAACUCAGCUCAGAGCUGUUGCAAAAGCAGGGGAAAAAUCAAGGAGGCAGACAUAACUUGGAGAGUAAGAUAUGAGGGGUAUGGCAUGGAUACAUUAAAAAGAAAAAGAAAAAAAAAUCGUGGCUUAUGUCAAAGCCAUCAAAAGACAUGGCACGCCAUCAAGUGCUGGGACUUGCAUGACAUAUACAAAGGCUGGCCAAAAUUGAUCCCUGCUGAAGGUCAAAACAAAGAGCAAGGACUUAGGAACACUUUGGAAUGGAGAUAGCAUCCAGGGAAAUGAAAUUGAAAGAGAAAAAAAAAAUUUUUUGAAAUUUAGUGACUACAAGAAAGUGGUCAGGCUAAAAUGAGGUGCAGUGCAAAGGACCCAAAGAGGCCAAAACUCAGCUCACAGCUGUUGUAAAAGCAGGGGAAAAGUCAAGGAGGCAGACAUAACUUGGAGGGGAAGAUAUGAGGGAGAGGGCAUGGAUACAUUAAAAAGAAAAAAGAAAAAAAAAUCUUGGCUAAUGUCAAAGCCAUCAAAAGACAUGGCAUGGCAUCAAGUGCAGGGACAUGCACGACAUAUACCAAGUCUGGCCAAAAUUGAUCCCUGCUGAAGGUCAAAACAAAUAAGAAGGACUUAGGAACACUUUGGAAUGGAGAUAGCAUCCAAGGAAAUGAAAUUGAAAGAGAAAAAAAAAAAAUUUUUGAAAUUUAGUGACUACAAGAAAGUGGUCUGGGCCAAAAUGAGGUGCAGUGCAAAGGACCCAAAGAGGCCAAAACUCAGCUCAGUGCUGUUGCAAAAGCAGGAGAAAAAUAAAGGAGGCGGACAUAACUUGGAGAGUAAGAUAUGAGGGAUAUGGCAUGGAUACAUAAAAAAAAAAAAAAGAAAAAAAUAAUCUUGGCUAAUGUCAAAGCCAUCAAAAGGCAUGGCAUGGCAUCAAGUGCAGGGACAUGCACGACAUAUACCAAGUCUGGCCAAAAUUGAUCCCUGCUGAAGGUCAAAACAAAUAAGAAGGACUUAGGAACACUUUGGAAUGGAGAUAGCAUCCAAGGAAAUGAAAUUGAAAGAGAAAAAAAAAAAUUUUUGAAAUUUAGUGACUACAAGAAAGUGGUCUGGGCCAAAAUGAGGUGAAGUGCAAAGGACCCAAAGAGGCCAAAACUCAGCUCAGUGCUGUUGCAAAAGCAGGGGAAAAAUCAAGGAGGCAGACAUAACUUGGAUGGGAAGAUAUGAGGGACAAGGCAUGGAUACUUGAAAAAAAAAAAAAAAAGAAAAAAAAUCUUGGCCAAAGUCAAAGCCAUCAAAAGGCAUGGCAUGGC